rnacentral:rRNA from 1 species
UACGAAGGGUGCAAGCGUUAAUCGGAAUUACUGGGCGUAAAGGGUGCGUAGGCGGUUGUUUAAGUCUGUCGUGAAAUCCCCGGGCUCAACCUGGGAAUGGCGAUGGAAACUGGGCAGCUAGAGUGUGUCAGAGGAUGGUGGAAUUCCCGGUGUAGCGGUGGAAUGCGUAGAGAUCGGGAAGAACAUCAGUGGCGAAGGCGGCCUGCUGGGCUGUUGCUGACGCUGAGGCGCGACAGCGUGGGGAGCAAACAGG